rnacentral:rRNA from 1 species
GAGUGGCGAACGGGUGAGUAAUACAUAAGCAACCUGCCCCUAUGCCUGGGAUAACUGUUGGAAACGACAGCUAAUACCGGAUAGGUUCAUUGAUGACAUCGUUAAUGAAUUAAAGUUGGGCAACAACACAAAGGGAUGGGCUUAUGGCGCAUUAGCUAGUUGGCGGGGUAACGGCCCACCAAGGCAUUGAUGCGUAGCCGACCUGAGAGGGUGACCGGCCACACUGGGACUGAGACACGGCCCAGACUCCUACGGGAGGCAGCAGUAGGGAAUUUUCGGCAAUGGGCGCAAGCCUGACCGAGCAACGCCGCGUGAACGAAGAAGGUUUUCGGAUCGUAAAGUUCUGUUGUAAGGGAAGAACGAGCAAAACAGGGAAUGGUUUUGAAGUGACGGUACCUUACCAGCAAGUCACGGCUAACUACGUGCCAGCAGCCGCGGUAAUACGUAGGUGGCAAGCGUUAUCCGGAAUUAUUGGGCGUAAAGGGUGCGCAGGCGGUUGAUUAAGUUUAAGGUGAAAGUUCGGGGCUCAACCCCGUGAUGCCUUAGAAACUGGUCGACUCGAGUGCAGGAGAGGUGAGUGGAAUUCCAUGUGUAGCGGUAAAAUGCGUAGAGAUAUGGAGGAACACCAGUGGCGAAAGCGGCUCACUGGCCUGUAACUGACGCUGAGGCACGAAAGCGUGGGGAGCAAAUAGGAUUAGAU